GGUUUGAUCAUGAAAAACGGAACAGACGCUGGCGGGAUGCUUUACACAUGCAAGUCCGAGCAGCACGCCUGGACUUCAGUCUGGUGGCGAGUGGCUGGCGAACGGGCGAGUAAUAUCGGAACGAUGCCUAGUAAGCGGGGAUAACUACUGCAGCGUAGCCUAAUGCCACCUUAAGCUAAGGAAAGAAGCAGGGGGACGCUACCGGGCCUCGCACUAUUAGAAACGGCCGAUAUCGGGAUUAGCUGGUUGGUGGGGUAACAGGAAGCUCACCCAAGAGGCGACGAUCCGUAGCUGGUUUGAGAGGACGACUGAAAGCGCCACACUGGGACUGGGAGCUUUACGGCCCAGACUCCUACGGGAGGCAGCGGUGGGGAGCCUUUGGACAAUGGAAGCCACUGGCCCAGCCAUCCCGCGCGUGUUACGUGGGCCCCAUAAGGUUAUUAAAGCACUUUUGGCAGGAAAGAAACGCGGCACGGGAUAAUGCCCCCGUGCAACUUUGAGCGGCUGUACUGCCACGGGAGUGGCACCGACUAACUGCGGCAGCAGCCGCAAUGUACGUAGAAGGUGCAAGCGUUAAUCGGAAUUACUGGGCGUAAAGCGUGCGCAAGCGGUUCGGAGAAAGAAGAUGUAGAGGUAUCCCAGAGGCUUAACUACGGAACUGCAUUUUUUACAACUACCGGGCGCAGGUGUGUCAGGGGAAGAGGAGGAGGUGGAAUUCCGCGAUGUAGCGGUGAUAGAAUGUGCGGAGGAACACCGAUGAGCGAAGGCCUCCUGGGAUAACACUGACGCUCAUGCACGGCAAAAGCGUGGGGAGCAAACGGGAUUAGAUGCCCUGGUUAGUCCACAUACAAACGAUGAUGUCAACCUUCAAGCUGGUAGGGCCUUCAGGCCUUGGUAGCUUUUAAUGGCACGCGUGAGACUGACCGCCUGGGGAGAGUACGGUCGCAAGACUACAAAACUCACAAAAGAAAGUUGACGCGAGAAGGACCCGCACAAGCGGUGGAUGAUGUGGAUUAAUUCGAUGCAAAGCGCGAAAAAGCCUUGCUUCUUACCUACCCUUGAGCACAUGUCUGGAAUCCCGAAGAGAUUUUGGGAAUGCUCCGCGAAGACGGAACACAGGUGCUGCAUGGCUGUCGUCGAAGCUCGUGUCGUGAGAUGUUGGGUUAGAGUCCGCAACAGAGCGCAACCCUUGUCUGGAUUGCUACGAAAGGGCACUCUAGCAUGGACUGCGGUGACCAGGAGGAAGGUGGGGAUGACGUCAGUCCUCAUGGCCCUUAUAGGUAGGGCUUCACACGUCAUAUAAUGUGGUCGGGACAGAGGGGGUCGCCAACCCGCGAAGGCUUCCCAAUCCAGAAACCCGAUCGUAGUCGGAUCGUCUGCGCUCGACUGCGUGGCAGUCGGAAUCUGUAGUAAUCGCGGAUCAGCAUGUCGCGGUACGAAUACGUUCCCGGGUCUUGUACACACCGCCCAUCACACCAGCAGGGUGGAGUUUUGCAAAGUAGAUUUAGCCUAGCAAUGGAGGGCGAUUACCACAGUAGGAUUCAUGACUGGGGUGAAGUCGUAGCUGAAAGGU
rnacentral:rRNA from 1 species